UGAGCUUCUUUGGGGCGUUUUGACGCGCGUUUGUGGCCAUAGGACACUGCAGUCAAUUACACAAACGCUCGUCAAACGCGCGUUUACUAUUGCAAAAAACGCGCAUAAAAACGCGCGACAAAAACGCGCGUAAAACGCGCGUCUGAGAAACACUCAGGUGUGAAAGCAGGGUUAAAGAGGCAGUAUAAAU